rnacentral:rRNA from 1 species
CACACCGCCCGUCACACCAUGGGAGUUGGUUCUACCUUAAGACAGUGCGCAAACCCGCAAGGGGUGCAGCUGGCCACGGUAGGAUUAAUGACUGGGGUG